rnacentral:lncRNA from 1 species
AACAUUGUUCUUUUGAAGUCUGACAUGAAGAUGAAAAUUCCUUGAGGAUUGUGAGACACUAGAAUGCAUUACAAAGGAGGGCACGGAAUGGCCUUUAAUGCAGAUCCUUAAGAGGGUAGAGGGCAGCAUUCUUAGUUUCCUUUCCACCCUCUAAUUCCAACAUGCUAUGAAAAUGAUUUUAACUCUGCCUGACUAGCACAAACAAAACUAAACAAUAACAUUGACUUCCUGAUUAUUUAUACCCACUUGCCCCAUGACUUUGUAAUGAGGGGUCUUAGUGGCAAGGACAGUCUUCAUCAUGCUUUGUCCCUCUACUCUGCUUGACAUACAGGUAUGGGCAAGGAUUCUAAAUUUCUCUGCUCCUCUAGCCUUUUGAUGUGUUUGUUCACAAAUACCCGGGCCUUGGGGCAGGGGUAGAGACACCUUCCUUCUGCUGCACUAGGGGGAGUCGCCUUAGGAGGUCAGCUGACCACGUGGAGAGGAGGCUCUGAGAGGUCAGCUGACUGUCUGGGGAGCAGGCUCUGGGAGGUCAGUUGACCACGUGGAGAGGAGGCUCUCGGAGAUCGGCUGACGGCGUAGGGAGAAGGCUCUCUGGUCGGCUGACCGCCUGGAGAGGAGGCUGUGGGAGGUUGGCUGAUCCCCUGGGGAGGAGGCUCUGGCAGGUCGGCCGACCAUGUUGGGAGGAGGCUCUUGGAGUUACACGUUGUCUUCAGAAAAAGAGAUUCCCCAGAGCCCCACACAGUGCCUGGCAAAUGUAGCAUGACACAAUUCCUUCAAGACUUCCCAGCCUGCAGGAGGGAGUCGCUGGCUAAACCUGGAUACAGGCCGGGAUGCUACAACUUGCUGGUUGCUCAACUCUAGAUGGUCAACUGUCCGUUCCCAGAGCUUUGGUUUCCUCAUGCUGGCAGAUCAUCACUGAUGUCCAUUCCUUCCAGGUGUUUAGUUCGUAGGCCAGUCCUGAGUUGUUGAGUGAGAAAGUAGGAAGAGUACGCAGUGAUAACAUGAGGAGCAGAACAGAAGACUCUUUUGUGUGACCUGGAACCAAAGGUCAUCAUGCUGGGGCAGAGUGUGGAUAGGAGGCAGAAGGGACUACAUUUCAUGAGCACUUGUUAUAUAUAAGAAGUGUUAUUGGCUGGGCGCGGUGGCUCACGCCUAUAAUCCCAACACUUUGGGAGGCCGAGGCAUGAGGAUCACCUGAGGUCGAGAGUUCGAGACCUCGAGACCAGUCUGGCCAACAUGGUGAAACCCUGUCUCUAUUAAAAAUACAAAAAUGAGCUGCGCGUGGUGGUGUAUGCCUGUAAUCCCAGCUACUUGGGAGACUGAGCAGGAGAAUCGCUUGAACCCAGGAGGCAGAGGUUGUGGUGAGCUGAGAACAUACCAUUGCACUCCAACCUGGGCGACAGAGCAAAACUCUGUCAAAAAGAAAAAAAAAAAAAAAAAAGAAGUGUUAUUGAUGUAUAAUAAAAGCUAAUGUCUGCUGUGCCCCUUUCGUAUGCCUGGAGCUAUGCGUGUACUUUCCAUAUGCAAUCUCAUUGAGCCCAGCAACAAUCCAAUGGGAUGAGGACAGUUGUGCCCAUUCAACAGGAGAGAAAACUGAAGCCUUAGAGGUCACACAGCUCUAGGUGAAGAAGUCAGAACCGCAACCCAAGUCCAACCUGAGAACCUGAGCUCUUGACCACUAACUAAACUCUAACACCUCUCAUUCACUGAGUAGGGAUCUGAAUCCAGGAGACGUAAGUAAUUUGUCCAAAGUCACGUGGCUAAUAAGCAGCAGAGUGAGGAUUUGAAAGCAGAUUUGUCUG